UACAUAUUUGUGUGUCAGUGUGUCCCUCUCCUAUAUAUAUAUAUAUAUAUAUGUACACACACGCAUGCAUGCAUACACACACACUGAUUUGUGUGCAUGCGUACUCAUUCAUAUUCCUAUAUGGUUGAAAAAAAACAUAAUUAUAAUAAUACAACUAAUUUUGUUCUUUGACAAAACUGAUCACCAUUUCUAUUUUUCUCAUGUAUAUAUAAAUUUCCAAAAUGAAUCCAAGAAGCUAGGCUUUCUAUAGCAUUGUAAUACUUCCCAAGUGCCUUCCAGUAAAGAGAAAAGCUCUCAGCUUUGCUUUUAUCCUCUUCCCUGACUCUGUGCAACAAAAUUCAUCACAUCUACACAUUUGUCUAGUGGUAUAUUCUGUGUGUGAUUUCUUAAAAGAAGCAGAUAGAUAUUUAAGUGUGCUGGUGGAAUAUUUGGACUUUUUUUUUUUUAAUUUAUGUAAUGAUUGUUGAACUUUUCUUUUAGAAAUGAAGAAAAAUAUUACAUAUAAACAUGUAUGUAUAAAUGUUUGUGUGUGUGUGUGUGUAUAUAUAUAUAUAUAUAUAUAUAUGAAAAAAUGUUUAUAUUUUAAGGUAGUUUAUACCUAUUUGGUUUGUCUUCAUUGCUGAUUGUUCAAUAUCAUGUUAUUUUCUUCAGAUUACCUGGUUUUCUUUUUUGCCUCUUGUUUCUUUCCCACCAAAAUAUAGUGUAUACAUGUGUGUGUAAACUAUAACAAGGUUUCUUCAUAACAAGAGAAAAUCAUUACUGUCUAAGCAUAGAAAGAGAACGCAAUUUUAAUUUCAUAAGUUUCCCUUAUAAAACAAUUUAAAUGAAUCUGUAAUUGACUUGAAAAAUACCUGUGGUUUUUUGUGGGGUUGUUAAUAUUUUAUUUUAAUUUUAGAUAUUUGGUGUGCUGAAAUAUAAAUAAAUCUCUUGUGGUAUAGUCCCCAAGCAGGCCUUGGAUUCAUACCAGAAAGGAUUAAGAAAUUCAGUCAGGAUUAUCUUCUUAUGCUGUGAAUAGUUGACUGUAAUUUGUACAAAACUCAGGAACCUGUAUAAUAUCACAGGAAUUAUAUAAAACAAGUCACUCUGAUUCAUUUUCCUAUUUAGAUUUCUUAUUAAUUAAUUUACAAAUGAUACCUCUACGUAUAGCUAUGUGUUUGUGUUGAUUUUCUUAUAAUUUCAAGUUGAUAGUUUAGGCAGUAAGCUUAGGUUGUUUGUUGUAGCCUCAUUUGAGCUAAAUCCAAAGACAUAUAAAUGCAAUGUGAUACACACACACACACACACACUGCUGAUAUCAAACAUUGAGAAUGAGUGCUCAACACAGCAUUAGUGGAUAAAUAUUCUUUAUUUUUAGUUUAACAAGCAACCAAUUGUUUCAUGUGAAGAGAUCUUCACAAUUGUUCAAGUAUGUCACAUGGAAGUGUUAGUACUCAUCUCCAUGUGGCACACUUGAACAAUUGUGAAGCUCUGUUUGCAUGAAACCAUUGGUUGCCUUGUUAACCCACAAAU